CCUCGACCUCCCAAAGUGCUGGGAUUACAGGCGUGAGCCACUGCGCCCGGCCGACCAAAACAUUUUUUUUUGCUUGUCUGUAUAUAUCAGGUUUUGUAAAUAAUGAGUAUUCCAUUAUUUUCUAACUGGAAAAAAAAUUUAAGGGAAAAAAAUCACCCGUAAGUUUUAUUUCUUAACUGAGGUCAAAGGAUACCUUAUCGUUUUACUAGAAUUGAUUGGAUGUUUCCUGUAAGUCCCAGAUGAGUUGCCUGGAGAGAGGAAUGACCUCUGAGGGCAUGACAUUGAACCCAGGAAUAGGAAGCGGACCGCCAAGAAGGAUAGAGGGAAACUACUCACAUCUGCAAAGUAUUUUCGUUUUGCUUUUCUGAGACGAAACUGGUUUGCAUCCAGAGCCUUAAGAAAGAACACUAAUAGUUCUGUGAGCUUUGAUAUGCUGUCUGUAGCUGUGAUGUCCAAUCUGGGUGUGCCGACUCUCCUGCCUUCUACCGUAACAGCUGUCACCACCACCACAUAGCCUUUCAAAUGAUGGCACUCUCUUUUGGUGGUACCCUUGCUCUCUUUUUAUACUUAGAAGCAGCAGAAUGAUCUGAGUGUUGUGUUUAACUGGUACACAUUAGUCCCAUGAUAGGUGUUAUUUUUAUUAAAAAACGUUCAUGUGUGAUUUUUAACUAAACUUUAAAAUUUGGAACAAUUAAUGACUUCAAAUCCAUAGGAAGCUGUAAAUACAGUACAGACAGGUCCUGUGUACUCUUCUAGUUUGCCUAAUGGUUACAUGUUACAUAACUAUAAUGUAAUGUCAAAACCAGGAAAUUGAUAUUUGUGCAAUGUAUGUGUAUAGUGUCAUGCACAUUUCAUCUCAUACGUAGAUUCCUGUAGCCACCACCAUAGUCAAGAUACAGAACUAUUCCAUUACCCCAAAGACUUCCCUUAUGACUCUGUAGUCACAUCCUGUGUCAGCAGUCCCCAGGGCUGCCCCCAGGUUUCGUAAUUCGUUCGAGGCUCUCACAGGACAUAUUUAUUCCUUGCUAUGGUUUGUUACAGUGAGGGGAUACAAAGUAGGAUUAAUAAAGGUUAGUUGUGCAUUGAGCAGAUUCUACAGGACACCAGCAUUGUUAAGAUUCGAAGCGUCUUCUCCCAGCAGAGUUGCCCAGGAUGUGCUUACUUCCCCAGCCGUAAACUCUAGCAACAUGUGUGAAGUGUUUUUUAUUGUGAAAGCUCAUGUACACCUCAGAAUCCAGGGCUUUUACUGGAGGUUGGUCACAUAGUAUAUUAGUUCGUUCAUUCUCACGUAGUUAUAAAGAAAUACCUGAGAUUGAGUAAUUUAUAAAGAAAGGAGGUUUAAUUGGCUCACAGUUCUACAGGCUGUACAGGAAACAUUGCAGCUUCUGCUUCUAGGGUGGCCUCAGGAAGCUUCCAGUAAUAGUGGAGAGCAAAGGGGGAGCAAAGUGUCUCCCCUAGUGGGAGCAGGAGCAAGAGAGAAGGUGCUAUACACGUUUAAACAACCAGAUCUCACAAGCACAGAACCACAGGGGAUGGUGCGAAACCAUUCAUGAUUAACUGCCCCAUGAUCAGAUCACCUUUCACAGGCCCCACUUCCAACAUUGGGGAUUACAAUUCAGCAUGACAUUUGGGUGGGGACACAGUUCCAAACCAUAUCACAUAGGCAUAUAGUCCCUUUAAAACUGAUCACCGUUACAGCAACUCCAGAAGGAAAUCAGGUGUUUACCAUAAAUCAUACAGUUUGCACAAAAUAUCUAGACAAGCUGGACAGUGUGGUUCAGUACCGUAACCAUACAAAACACCCUUAUCAUAUAGAGCAUAGGGCUAGUACAAGACCUCAGUUUCUAGGAGCUGACCAAGGGCCAGUCUAACCCAGCUGACCAAGCAGGCCCGUCUGAGAAUGUGCAUCAUUUGAGCAACUCAGGCCUGCUGGGUUAACUGCUUACACCAUUUUCCUUCCCCUCCUCUUCCUUGCCUUCGACACUCUUAACCUGGAAAAAGCACUAAUUUGUCCUCCAUAUCUGUGGUUUUGUCAUUUGGAAAGGUUGUAGAAAUCCUAGAGUAUGUGACCUUUUAAGAUGCACUUUUUAGAAAACUCAACAUGUUGCUCUUGUGUUAAUAGUUUGUUCUUUUUAGUGUUCGGUAUUCUCUUGUGUGGUCAUGCCCCAGUUUAUUUAACCAUCCCAUAGAUGUUUAUUUUCCCUUGUAAAGUUGGUUAGCAUGUAUUUUUUUUUUUUUUUUUUGGAGACAGAGUCUC